CCUACGGGUGACAGCAGUGAGGAAUAUUGGUCAAUGGGCGGGAGCCUGAACCAGCCAAGUCGCGUGAGGGAAGACGGUCCUAUGUAUUGUAAACCUCUUUAUGCGGGGAGCCAUGCCGGGCACGCGUGCCCGUCGGGAGCUUACCCGCCGAAUAAGCAUCGGCUAACUCCUUGCCAGCACCCGCGUUAAUACGUAGGAUGCGAUGUUGAUCCGGCUUUCUGGGGUUAAACGGUUGCGUAGUCGGAUUUUAAAGUCAGCGGUAAAAUGUCCGUGCUCAAACCGGGCCGGCCGUUGAAACUGGGGAUCUUGAGUGGGCGAGAAGUAGGCGGAAUGCGUGGUGUAGCGGUGAAAUGCAUAGAUAUCACGCAGAACUCCGAUUGUGAAGGCAGCAUACCGGCGCCCGACUGACGCUGAGGCACGAAAGUGUGGGGAUCGAACAGGAUUAGAUACCCUUGUAGUC
rnacentral:rRNA from 1 species